CACCAGGUUGAUUCUGCCUGACGUGGAAGCUAUUCUUUAAGAUUAAGCCAUGCAUGUGUAGAAUGAAGUGAAGCCGUUAGGUGGAACAGCGAAAAGCUCAGUAAUACAAUCAUUAUUUGGUCUACAAGAUAUAGAAUAACCUUGAUAAAUUAAGGCUAAAGCUAUUGUAGAAUAAGAGAUUGACCUAUCAGCUAGUAUGUAGGGUAAGGGCCUACGUAGGCGAUGACGGGUAACGGGGAAUUAGGGUUCUAUUCCGGAGAAGGAGGCUGAGAGAUGGCUACUAGGUCUAAGGAGAGCAGCAGGCGCGAAACUUACCCCAAUGCUAUUUAGUAGUGAGGUAGUUAUAAGAAGUAGUGAAUGUAUUUUACUGAUUUUCCUUGUAAAUAUAGGAAAUGAUAAUUGGAGGGCAAGUCUGGUGCCAGCAGCCGCGGUAAUUCCAGCUCCAAGAGUAUCUAUGAGUAUUGCUGCAAUUAAAAAGUUCGURGUUGAUUAUUGUAAUAAUCUUGUGAUAAGUAUUAAAUUAUGAUUARUGAAAGCCAUGGAAGGAAAUAGGAUUAAAUAGGGAGGGGUGAAAUCUGUAGAUCUAUUUAGGACUAACUGAAGCGAAAGCGAUUUUCUAUGUGGUAUUUGACAAUCAAGAACGAAAGCCGGAGUAUCGAAGACGAUUAGAGACCGUCGUAGUUCCGYGCAGUAAACYAUGUUAUAUUAUUUGUAGUAUAUAUGAGUAUAUAUUAUGGAUAUAUAGAAAUUAAGAUAUUAUGAACUUUGGGGAUAGUMCGAACGCAAGUUUUAAACUUAAAUGAAAUUGACGGAAGGACACACCAGGAGUGGAGUGUGCGGUUUAAUUUGACUCAACGCGGGACAACUUACCAUUUUUAGAAGUGAAUAUGAAUGAUAUUGUAUCAUGAUUUUACUAUGAGUGGUGCAYGGCCGUUAACAAUACGUGAUGUGAAUUUUGAAUUUGAAUGAGUUAUAUAUGAAAGUAUAURAUUCUGUAUUAGUGUUAAAUCCACCAAUGUGUGAGACCCAUAUACUAAUUUUGAGUUAGUAGACAGAUGAUGUAAAUCAUAGGAAGGGAUGGGCGAUAACAGGUCAGUGAUGCCCUUAAAUGAAAUGGGCGACACGCGCACUACAAUAGAAUGAUAUAUUAUUCUAAGGAGUUGGGAUUAUUAAUAUGUAAAUUUAAUAUGAACAAGGAAUUCCUAGUAAUAUUUUUUUUGUGAUGUUACAMCGAGAUAUGAAUAUGUCCCUGUCCUUUGUACACACCGCCCGUCGUUAUCUCAGAUGGAUAUUAGGGUGAAAUAUUAAUAUAAUAGAGAACUCUAAUAACUAAAUAAGGUACAAGUCGUAACAAGGUAACCNNNNNNNNNNNNNNNNNNNNNNNNNNN
rnacentral:rRNA from 12 species